rnacentral:rRNA from 1 species
GNUAAUACNNCAUNNGAANUUUGGUUAAAAACGGGGGAUNGCAAGACCUCGCGCGAUUGGAGCGGCCGAUGGCANAUUUAGGUGUUGGUGGGGUAAAGGCUCACCAAAGCCGACGAUCUGUAGCNNNUCUAGAGGANNACCAGCCACACUGGGACUGANNCANNNCCCAGACUCCUACGGGAGGCAGCAGUGGGGAAUUUUGGACAAUGGGUGCAAGCCUGAUCCAGCCAUUCCGCGUGCAGGAUGAAGGCCCUCGGGUUGUAAACUGCUUUUGUACGGAACGAAAAGGCCUUCUCUAAUACAGAGGGCUCAUGACGGUACCGUAAGAAUAAGCACCGGCUAACUACGUGCCAGCAGCCGCGGUAAU